GAUUAAGAUGCCUGUUUUAUCAUCAGUAAAGGGAGGUGACUUGCUGUUCUGGGCUGAACUGUGUCUCCCCCAAAUUUAUAUGUUGAAGUCCUAACCCAUAGUAGUUCAGAAAGUGACUGCAUUUGGAGAAAGUGCCUUUAAAGAGGUGACUAAGUUAAAAUGAGCCCUUAGAAUGGUCCCUAAUCCAGUCUAAUUAGUGUCUUUAUAAGAAGAGGAAAUUUGAACUCACAGAGAGACACGACGGAUGCACGCACAUGGAGAAAAAAGGCCACGUGAGGACACAGCGAGAAGGAGGCCAUCUGCAAGCCAAGGAGAGAGGCCUCAGAAGAGACGAAACCUGCUGACACCUUGCGCUUCGGCUUCUCCCCUGCAGAAUUGUGAGAAAUAAAUUUCUAUUGUCUAAGUCACACAGUCUACAGUGUGUUGUUACGGCUGUCCUAGCAAAUGAAUAGUCUAGCAAGAGGGAAAUUUUUAUUCAUCUUUAAGUUCUUAGCAUUUGGAGUUUCUUGGAACAGAAGAUAAUCAAUAAGUGUGUAUUCAAUGACACAGGGUAUCUGGGACUGGCAUUAUCCAAGGGGAGUUGGAUGUAGGUAACACAUUCUGAGUAAAAGGAGG
rnacentral:lncRNA from 10 species